UAUAAUUAAAAGAUUUAUUAAUGAUAAAAACUUAAGUCUAAAUCAAAUUAUUUUAUUUAAAGAGAGAUACAUCUUACCAUUUAUAUUAUAUUUUAUAUAAUUUGUAUUUGUUUUUGGAUUUGAUUUGAAUUGUGAAAGAGUUUUUAGACAUUAAACAAUACAUGUUAUUUAAAUUAAAUACUAAAAUUUUAUGAUUUUUUAAUAUUUUUGUAAAAUAAAUGUGUUAAUUAAAUUUAUAUUUUAUUUAAAAAUUAAAAAUUUUAGACAUUAAACAAUACAUGUUAUUUAAAUUAAAUACUAAAAUUUUAUGAUUUUUUAAUAUUUUUGUAAAAUAAAUGUGUUAAUUAAAUUUAUAUUU
rnacentral:lncRNA from 1 species